rnacentral:rRNA from 1 species
AUUGAACGCUAGCGGCAUGCUUAACACAUGCAAGUCGAACGGUAACAGGCCUAGCUUGCUAGGCGCUGACGAGUGGCGGACGGGUGAGUAACGCGUAAGAAUCUACCUUGUAGAGGGGAAUAACCUGGGGAAACUCAGGCUAAUACCGCAUAAGCCCUAAGGGGGAAAGCAGGGGACUGUAACAGGCCUUGCACUAUGAGAUGAGCCUACGUCGGAUUAGCUAGUUGGUAGGGUAAAGGCCUACCAAGGCGAAGAUCCGUAGCUGGUCUGAGAGGACGACCAGCCACACUGGGACUGAGACACGGCCCAGACUCCUACGGGAGGCAGCAGUGGGGAAUAUUGGACAAUGGGCGCAAGCCUGAUCCAGCAAUGCCGCGUGUGUGAAGAAGGCCUGCGGGUUGUAAAGCACUUUCAGUGGGGAGGAACGUUUUUAGCACUAAUACUGCUAAGAGGUGACGCUACCCAAAGAAGAAGCACCGGCUAACUCUGUGCCAGCAGCCGCCGUAA